CUUUGGGAUCUAAAUUUUUAUAUUUUCAAGAUAUGGGAUGUGCAUUUUAAUUAGUCUAUUUAAGUUACAUAAAUUUAAUAUUAUUUCGAUAUAAUGAUAGAUAUUUUAAAAUAACAUAUAAUUAGGAAGGGAAAAUUUUCGAAAUGCUCUAACUGAUUCAAUAAAAAUUAGCAAAAUAUGAAACAAAGAACAAUGAUAUUUUUGUUCUACAAACUAAAAAUCGAUUUUUGGGUAGUUUAAUUUUGGGUACAUUUGAGUUUGAAUAUCUCGGCGAAAAAUGUUUGUUUCUGAAUUCUGUUUUCACCUACUACUGAACCUUAGACGAUCUUUUAGAAUACGUGUUUAAAUUUUGUGUAAAGGGAUUAUUAAGGGAUUUUAGAUUUUACUAGAUCGACUAACUUCAAAUUUUAUAUAUACCUUCAAAAUACAAUUUUUGAUAAUAUACAGAAUUUCGGUUAAAUUCCAAAAGAUAGAAAUAAAUUUACUAACAA